UGCUGGGGAAGAGUGUUGCCUCAGCUCAAAAGCAGAAUCGGAUCCUGAAGGACCUAAUGACUAGAAACUUCCAGCUGACUACACUCUGCAACUGACUGAUGGCACAUUGCAUAAAGAAACGCGAACCCAGCAGCACUCCUGCCAGCGGCAAUUCUGAGUGCUCAUUUCCACUUUGCCAAGACAUUACAUGGGAAGGCAUGUGCGUUUAAGGGCAUCCAAUUGUUUCUGUAUCAGAACAGCAGCAACAUCCCGGGCAGGCCUUUCCUCUGGAGUUCACGUGUAGGUCGUACUGACACACAACAUGGCCUAAAUGGACCAUGGAGGAGGAAGGGACCCCAAAUCCAGGCCAAAUGGGAGCAGGGUUGUCCUCAGGAGGACCCCAGCUAGAAGACUUUCUCUGGAACCCACGGUGCCUCUCACUAAAGUGCCCCAACGUUGGCACAACACCUACCGAAUUGUUGUUGCUGACUCUCUAUGCCCAUGAUUCAACCAGAACAACAUUGAUUCGUUAAAAGGUGCAUGAAUAAACUUGACUCUGGAAACAAAAAAAAAAAAAAAAA
rnacentral:lncRNA from 1 species